rnacentral:piRNA from 1 species
ACCCCUUGAAGUGGCUGCCUGGGCCAC